UUGCCUCAGUAACGGCGAGUGAAGCGGCAACAGCUCAAAUUUGAAAUCUGGCGCAAGCCCGAGUUGUAAUUUGCAGAGGAUGUUUCGGGUGAAGCCACGGUCCAAGUCCCUUGGAACAGGACGUCAUAGAGGGUGAGAACCCCGUACCUGGCCGUCGGUGCCCCCCGCUGUGAAACUCCUUCGACGAGUCGAGUUGUUUGGGAAUGCAGCUCUAAAUUGGUGGUAAAUUCCAUCUAAAGCUAAAUACCGGCCAGAGACCGAUAGCGCACAAGUAGAGUGAUCGAAAGAUGAAAAGCACUUUGAAAAGAGAGUUAAAAAGUACGUGAAAUUGUUGAAAGGGAAGCGCUUGCGGCCAGACUUGCCCGCGGUUGCUCAGCCCGCCUUUUGGCGGGUGCACUCUUCCGCGGUCAGGCCAGCAUCGGUUUGGGCGGUCGGAUAAAGGCGUCGGGAACGUGGCCUCCCCUCGGGGAGGUGUUAUAGCCCGGCGCGCAAUGCGGCCAGCCCGGACCGAGGUUCGCGCUUUGCUAGGAUGCUGGCGUAAUGGCCGUAAGCGGCCCGUCUUGAAACACGGACCAAGGAGUCUAACAUCUAUGCGAGUGUUUGGGUGUCAAACCCGUGCGCGUAAUGAAAGUGAACGGAGGUGGGAACCGCAAGGUGCACCAUCGACCGAUCCUGAUGUCUUCGGAAGGAUUUGAGUAAGAGCAUAGCUGUUGGGACCCGAAAGAUGGUGAACUAUGCGUGAAUAGGGUGAAGCCAGAGGAAACUCUGGUGGAGGCUCGCAGCGGUUCUGACGUGCAAAUCGAUCGUCAAAUUUGCGUAUAGGGGCGAAAGACUAAUCGAACCAUUUGCAAACAGCAAUACUAGAUGGUCAAAGGGCGGAGAGCCUUAGUCCCCACGGGGGCCACACUGCCAAACUGCGGGGAACGCCCACAGCCGGACGCCACCGCCCCCCCGCCGCGAGGUGGGAGGGGCACCCCGUUUACUCGGGGGCAUGGUAACAGCGCGCCCGGCGGGUCGAUCCGCAGCCGUCCCCCGAUCCGUCGGGGGGUGGUUCACAGACUAGACGGCGGUGGGCGCGGCGAGCGCUUAAGAUAUAGUCGAUCCAGCCCCUCAAGGGCCGAG
rnacentral:rRNA from 1 species